rnacentral:lncRNA from 1 species
GUCGGCCGGCUAGCUGAUGGAGCUGAAGAGCUAUAGCUGCGGUUUUAAAAGCCACCUGCAGAGUCGUUGCAUUGCCUCCCUGCCUCUGCCUGCCCUUGUUACCUCUCUGAAUUUAACAGCAACUAAGACCUUCUUCGGUACAUUUCUACUAGUAGUAUUAUACUAUCAGUGAAAUUAAUCUAAAUCAUUCAUUAUAGAGAGUAAUUUAGUACCUUGUUAAUUAAGUAUUAAACUACCGGUAGAAUUAAUCUGAGCCAUUUAUUAAAAAGGAUAAUUUAGUAUUUUGUUAAUUAAUAUUUUGU